GACGAACGCUGGCGGCGUGCUUAACACAUGCAAGUCGAACGAAGUGGCGAACGGGUGAGUAACGCGUAAUCAACCUGCCCUUCAGAGGGGGACAACAGUUGGAAACGACUGCUACUACCACAUACUGAAGGAGGGGCUUGCGUCUGAUUCGCUAGUUGGAGGGGUAACGGCCCACCAAGGCGAUGAUCAGUAGCCGGUCUGAGAGGAUGAACGGCCACAUUGGGACUGAGACACGGCCCAGACUCCUACGGGAGGCAGCAGUGGGGAAUCUUCCGCAAUGGACGAAAGUCUGACGGAGCAACGCCGCGUGAGUGAUGACGGCCUUCGGGUUGUAAAGCUCUGUUAAUCGGGACGCGGGACCGGAAUAGAAAGCCACGGAUAACUACGUGCCAGCGGCCGCGGUAAUU
rnacentral:rRNA from 1 species